ACCUCUGGCCCUGGGGCUCCUGCUGCUGCCUGAUGCCUUACUUCUCGUGAAAAGCUCGCUUUAUCCACAUGAUCAGUUACCAUUUAUUCUCAGCUGGACAAGAGAAACAAUAAAAGCUGAAAUAUUUUUUUGCUGAAAUUAGCAACAGUGAAGACUUCAGACAGGAGGGAAGGUAGCUAUGUACCUGUCUCCAAUGAAAUUAAGCAAGGUGUGACCAGAAACAAUGGAAGCCCCGUUUACAUCUGAAUCAGCAGGGGGAUGGGAAGUUCACAGGAAAGGAAGAACGGCAUGAGGUCUAGGAACAAAACAGUGAGUUUGUGAAGUUAUAAGGAGAGGGAAGAAACCAUCUUGGAAUCCAUCACUAGGAAGAUAGAAGGGGCCAGAGUUCUUGCAAGCUGAGAAAGAUGGGUCUUUCCUUGAAUUGCACUGAAGUCUCAGAACUGAAUAUAGGUGAGAAACCUGCUUAGGCAAAGCUCUUUCACAAUGAAAACCAUCAGCUCCUGCUCCUGUGGAAAGUCCUGACUGAGAAAGUCCUGACUGGACAAAAAAUAAUUGGUGAGGGAAACCAUCUUAAACAAAGACUGUGUCUUGCUAGAUUAAGUUGUAGACAGUUAAACGUGUGUUUUCACUUUUGUUUGAUUGUAACCAUCUCUAACUUUAUUUCUGUUAUUUGGCAUCACUUAACUUAUGUCCUGUGUUAAUAAACUUGUUUC